UACGUAGGGUGCAAGCGUUAUCCGGAAUUAUUGGGCGUAAAGAGCUCGUAGGCGGUUUGUCGCGUCUGCUGUGAAAACUGGAGGCUCAACCUCCAGCCUGCAGUGGAUACGGGCAAACUAGAGUGCGGUAGGGGAGAUUGGAAUUCCUGGUGUAGCGGUGGAAUGCGCAGAUAUCAGGAGGAACACCGAUGGCGAAGGCAGAUCUCUGGGCCGUAACUGACGCUGAGGAGCGAAAGCAUGGGGAGCGAACAGG
rnacentral:rRNA from 1 species